CCUACGGGAGGCAGCAGUGGGGAAUCUUGCGCAAUGGGCGAAAGCCUGACGCAGCCAUGCCGCGUGUAUGAUGAAGGUCUUAGGAUUGUAAAAUACUUUCACCGGUGAAGAUAAUGACUGUAGCCGGAGAAGAAGCCCCGGCUAACUUCGUGCCAGCAGCCGCGGUAAUACGAAGGGGGCUAGCGUUGCUCGGAAUUACUGGGCGUAAAGGGAGCGUAGGCGGACAUUUAAGUCAGAGGUGAAAUCCCGGAGCUUAACUUCGGAACUGCCUUUGAUACUGGGUGUCUUGAGUGUGAGAGAGGUAUGUGGAACUCCGAGUGUAGAGGUGAAAUUCGUAGAUAUUCGGAAGAACACCAGUGGCGAAGGCGACAUACUGGCUCAUUACUGACGCUGAGGCUCGAAAGCGUGGGGAGCAAACAGGAUUAGAUACCCUGGUAGUCCACGCCGUAAACGAUGAUUGCUAGUUGUCGGGAAGCUUGCUUCUCGGUGACGCAGCUAACGCAUUAAGCAAUCCGCCUGGGGAGUACGGUCGCAAGAUUAAAACUCAAAGGAAUUGACGGNGNGAGAGNGCGAGACGACGACGAGGAGGAGG
rnacentral:rRNA from 1 species